rnacentral:rRNA from 1 species
CAGUAGCCACGGUAAUACAGAGGCCUCAAGCGUUGUUCGGAUUCAUUGGGCGUAAAGGGUGCGUAGGUGGCUUGGUAAGUUGAAGGUGAAAUCUCGGGGCUUAACCCCGAAACUGCCUUCAAUACUGCUAGGCUCGAGGACUGUAGAGGAGAAUGGAAUUCACGGUGUAGCAGUGAAAUGCGUAGAUAUCGUGAGGAAGACCAGUGGCGAAGGCGAUUCUCUGGGCAGUUCCUGACACUGAGGCACGAAGGCCAGGGGAGCAAACGGGAUUAGAUACCCGAGAGUCCCUGUCUCUUAUACA